rnacentral:rRNA from 1 species
CGGAGGAUGCAAGCGUUAUCCGGAUUCAUUGGGUUUAAAGGGUGCGUAGGCGGCUUUUUAAGUCAGUGGUGAAAUCCUGCCGCUUAACGGUAGAAUUGCCAUUGAUACUGAAGAGCUUGAGUACAGUUGAGGUAAGCGGAAUGUGUAGUGUAGCGGUGAAAUGCUUAGAUAUUACACAGAACACCAAUUGCGAAGGCAGCUUACUAAACUGUCACUGACGCUGAUGCACGAAAGCGUGGGGAGCGAACAGGAUUAGAUACCCUGGUAGUCCACGCCGUAAACGAUGAUCACUCGCUGUAUGCGAUAUACAGUAUGCGGCCAAGCGAAAGCAUUAAGUGAUCCACCUGGGGAGUACGAUCGCAAGGUUG